GACGAACCGAGCGAACGUUGUUCGGAAUCACUGGGCUUAAAGAGCGCGCAGGCGGUCGUACAAGUCGCGUGUGAAAGCCCCCGGCUCAACUGGGGAGGGUCACGCGAUACUGUUCGACUCGAAGGCAGGAGAGGGAAGCAGAAUUCCCGGUGUAGUGGUGAAAUGCGUAGAUAUCGGGAGGAAUACCAGUGGCGAAGGCGGCUUCCUGGCCUGUUCUUGACGCUGAGGCGCGAAAGCUAGGGUAGCAAACGGG
rnacentral:rRNA from 1 species